GCGGGUGUAGCUCAAUGGUAGAGCGCGGUCUUUCCAAGUCCGAUGUUGAGGGUUCGAGCCCCUUCGCCCGCU
rnacentral:tRNA from 1 species